rnacentral:rRNA from 1 species
AUGGAGUCGUCGCCGCCGCCGCCGCCGCGCCCCGUGGACAAGACCUACUUCUACAGCUGGCUGGAGCACCGCACCAACGCCGACCCCGGCUCGCUGGAGAGCGAGCUGCUCGAGGCGAUUCAGGACGGAGAUGUGGAGGGCCUCAAGGAUAUGGUGAGUAGCAUGGACAAACAGGAUAGGGCAAAGCUUGCUGAUAUGCAUAUAGAUGGCACGGGGUUACUACAAUUAGCAUCAUUCCUUGCUGAAAUGGAAGUAUGCAAGUACUUCGUGGAGGAGCUCGGGUUUGACGUCAAUGCUGGUGACCUCACUGGCGGUGUAACACCUCUGAGUUCUGCAGCAUUGUUUGGAGAAGUUGCCGUUGCAAGAUAUCUUCUUGACAAUGGAGCUGAUCCGAAUAAGCUAGAUGAUAGAGGCUCUGUUGCUCUGCAUAAUGCUGCAAAAAGCGGGAACGGGGAAGUAGUGGAUCUGUUGUUAUCUAGAGGGGCCAGAGUUGAUAUAGCCGUUACUCAUGGAACACCACUUCAUAUUGCUGCUUCCUAUGGGAACACUGGUGCUGUGAAGAUUUUAUUGGAUCACCAUGCAGAUCCAAACAGGGUUUCAGAAGUUUCAGGUACCCCUCUAGUUACGGCGCUUCAUUGUACUAAACAUGGAGUGAGUGAAUCUGAUUCAUUGGAAUGUGUGAAGCUACUUGUCAAGGCUGGCGCUGAUGUGAAUUCUGCUCAUCCAAGUAUUCCCUUGGUGGUGGCAACUACGGUUGGUUUGGCUGACUGUAUUAAGUACUUGCUGGAGGCUGGCGUGGAUCCUAACAUUCUGGAUGAACAGCAUCGCCGUAUGCCAAUACAAAUUGCUGCAAGUUUUGGAAGAAGAAGCCAUGUGGAGAUUCUAUUUCCUUUCACUUCUCCCAUUAGAGCAGUGGCAAACUGGUCAGUUGAAGGAAUUAUUGCUCACGAGAAGUCAAGAUGCUCAAUUUCCAAGGACGAGUCUUGUAACAAGAUCGACGAUAAAGUAGCCGUGCUGAAAUCUCAAGGAAAAGAGGCAGUUAAGAGAAAGGACUACCUUCGCGCUUCAAAUCUCUACACUAAGGCACUUGAACUUAGGUAUUUAGAUGAAACAUUGUAUUCAAAUAGGAGCCUUUGCUACCUAAAAACAGGCAAGCCACAAAAGGCUUUGCUGGAUGCUGAUAUUUGCAUUGCAAGAAAACCCGAGUGGGUGAAAGGUUACUACCGGAAAGGAGCUGCUCAUAUGUCGCUCAAGGAGUACGAGGAAGCAUCCGAAGCUUUCCAAGAUGGACUGGAAUUGGAUCCUGGGAACGAUGAGAUAAAGAAAGCUUUGCGGGAGGCUUGGGAGGCGAUGUCAAAGGAUGAAGCCGCUGGAGGAAGCAUCGAGUCCAUAGAUUAG